AGCAGCCGCGGUAAUUCCAGCUCCAAUAGCGUAUAUUAAAGUUGUUGCAGUUAAAAAGCUCGUAGUUGAACUUCGGGUUUACCCAUUGGUCAGGCUUAAUUGUCUGUACUGGUGAGAUAAAUCUCUACCUUCUGAGGAACUUUCAUGCCAUUUAUUGGUGUGAUUGGAAAUCAGGACUAUUACUUUGAAAAAUUAGAGUGUUUAAAGCAGGCUAACGUCUGAAUAUAUUAGCAUGGAAUAAUGAAAUAGGACGGCUUGGUUCUAUUUCGUUGGUUUCUAGGAUCACCGUAAUGAUUAAUAGGGAUAGUUGGGGGCAUUAGUAUUCAAUUGUCAGAGGUGAAAUUCUUGGAUUUAUUGAAGACUAACUACUGCGAAAGCAUUUG
rnacentral:misc_RNA from 1 species